AGUGACCUACGGGGGGCAGCAGUGAGGAAUAUUGGUCAAUGGCCGAGAGGCUGAACCAGCCACGUCGCGUGAGGGAGGACGGCCCUACGGGUUGCAAACCUCUUUUGUCAGGGAGCAAGGGACAGGUCGUGACCUGUUGUGAGAGUACCUGAAGAAAAAGCAUCGGCUAACUCCGUGCCAGCAGCCGCGGUAAUACGGAGGAUCCGAGCGUUAUCCGGAUUCAUUGGGUUUAAAGGGUGCGUAGGUUGUUUUAUAAGUUAGCGGUGACAUACCGAUGCUCAACAUCGGGGCUGCCGCUAAUACUG
rnacentral:rRNA from 1 species